rfam:Dipodomys ordii contig_64296, whole genome shotgun sequence.
GGAUGUGAGGGCGAUCUGGCUGCCACAUCUGUCACCCUAUUCAUCACCAGGGUUGAUUCGGCUGAUCUGGCUGGGUAGGCAGGUGUCCCCUUCCUCCCUCACCGCUCCAUGUGCGUCCCUCCCGAAGCUGCAUGCUCAGUAGAAGAAGACGACCAUCCCCAUAGAGGAGGAUCGGUCAAGGGUAUAUGAGUAGCUGCGCUCCCCUGCUAGAACCUCCAAACAAGCUCUCAAAAAGAUUCAGGGACAGUGCCCAGGCCCUGAGUUGAAGCCUCAGAACCAGGGGAGGAAAAACCCUGCACUC